rnacentral:rRNA from 1 species
ACGCACGCUGGCGGCGUGCUUAACCCCUGCCAGUCGAACGGUGAAGCGCCUUCCUUUUUGGUGGGUGUGGAUGAGUGGCGAACGGGUGAGUAACACGUGAGUAACCUGCCCCCUUCUUCUGGAUAACCGCAUGAAAGUGUGGCUAAUACGGGAUAUUCUGGGUCUGUCGCAUGAUGGGUCUGGGAAAGAUAUUGUUUCGGUGGGGGAUGGGCUCGCGGCCUAUCAGCUUGUUGGUGGGGUGAUGGCCUACCAAGGCGGUGACGGGUAGCCGGCCUGAGAGGGUGGACGGUCACACUGGGACUGAGACACGGCCCAGACUCCUACGGGAGGCAGCAGUGGGGAAUAGUGCACAAUGGGCGCAAGCCUGAUGCAGCGACGCCGCGUGAGGGAUGGAGGCCUUCGGGUUGUGAACCUCUUUCGCCAGUGAAGCAGGCCUGCCUCGUUUGUGGGUGGGUUGACGGUAGCUGGAGAAGAAGCGCCGGCUAACUACGUG